CUAGGCUCUAACCAGGAUGGUAAGCAAACAUAACUUUCAAAGAUCUCUCACCCGUCUUUAAAAUUUCUGAUGGCUUUCAAAUACUUCGCUGAGACGCAGACCAGCUAUGAGGUCUGAUGUGUGACCUCUCUCUCCCCUGUUACCGACCUCCCUUCCCAACUCUCCCGGCACGGUAAGGGGGCAUCACGGCGUUCGCGGCGGAGUGAGGCCGGGCAGAGUUACACGACCCACUCGCUCCCCGGCCGAGCUAGGACCCUGCAGCUUGUGAGCUCUAAGCAGCCGCGGGCAGGCCAGGCGAGGCUGCGGCCUUACAGUGGCCUCCUGGAAGCCCUCCCGACGCCCACGGCCCCUUGGUGCCGCAGCACAAUCCCUCCCCUCGCGAGCCUCUCCCGGGCUGCGCUCACCGGCUACCAUCGACGGUGCCUUCUCCGCGAAGUUACGGAUGAACUUGGCCAUGGUCUAAGGUGGAAGCCAGUAUCAGAAUUGGGAUCCAAUCCGGUUUUUCAAACAAGCCAGUAGGAGCUGUGCGGACAAGAGGAAGAAAGUCAUGUGUGUUGAGGGUGUUGCACUGUGCCAGGCAUUUUGUAAUUUGGUGGAAGCAUGCUUUGGGCAUUAUCCCCUUAGAGACCAAGAUUCCUAAAUAGUCAUAGAAGGAGUCAGUUGCAAGAUAAAUACGCAAAGGAACAUAAGGUUAAGCGUGGUGCUGAUCUGGGAAGGCGUAGAGAUUCUUGGUGUAUAAGAAAAUAUACAAAUUCCAAAGGCUGUAACUUUGACAUUAUGAAUGAAAACAACAAAAACAAACCAGGAAACCCAAAAACUAUGUAGGAAAGUAACAUUUGAUGAGGAGAACAAGUUCUGGAAAAGCCCAAUCUUUAGAAGAAAAACUGAGGGGCUGGAGAGAUGGCUCAGCAUUAUGAGCACUGACUGCGCUUAGGUUAGGAGUUCAAAUCCCAACAACCACAUGGUGGCUCACAACCAUCUGUGAUGAGAUCUGAUGCCCUCUUCUGGUGUGUCUGAAG
rnacentral:lncRNA from 1 species